UACAGAGGUCCCAAGCGUUGUUCGGAUUCAUUGGGCGUAAAGGGUGCGUAGGUGGCGCCGUAAGUCGGGUGUGAAAUUUCGGAGCUUAACUCCGAAACUGCAUUCGAUACUGCGGUGCUUGAGGACUGGAGAGGAGACUGGAAUUCAUGGUGUAGCAGUGAAAUGCGUAGAUAUCGUGAGGAAGACCAGUGGCGAAGGCGGGUCUCUGGACAGUUCCUGACACUGAGGCACGAAGGCCAGGGGAGCAAACGGG
rnacentral:rRNA from 1 species